GGAGGGAAGAUCUGGGAUGCCUUCCCCAGCACCCAGCAUAUCAUGCUUUUUAAAUAGAGCUCAAAAAUAAGCAAAAUGAAACAACAUGUUAUUAUUUCAUAUAUAUUUGUGAUAUAAGCAUAUAUAUUUAAAAGCAGUAGAACGAUAUACAACCUUUAGGGCUGUGCUUACCUUUGGGAUUGGACAACUGAAUUUAAAGGCAAGUUAAAGUUCAAUAUUUUGAACAAUGUUUAAACGAAGAUGAGCGAGAAGGCAGAACUGUUAAAAGGUUUUAUUUUACAGCCAAGUGAAGGAUUCAGCUACGUCCCAAAGGAUUAAACAAGAUGGUAUGCUUAAUAAUUCCUCACUUCUAUGAAAUUCCCUGAUUAUAAAGUGUCCUUUCAUUCUAUAGAACUACUCCUGAUUUCAUCAGGAAACUCUGAUCUGAAACUCAAUUUACAGAAAUAUUAAAAAUGAAUUUUCAACUAAA
rnacentral:lncRNA from 1 species